rnacentral:rRNA from 1 species
UACGAAGGGUGCAAGCGUUACUCGGAAUUACUGGGCGUAAAGCGUGCGUAGGUGGUUUGUUAAGUCGGAUGUGAAAGCCCCGGGCUCAACCUGGGAAUUGCAUUCGAGACUGAAUAGCUAGGGUGCGGUAGAGGGAAGCGGAAUUUCCGGUGUAGCGGUGAAAUGCGUAGAUAUCGGAAGGAACAUCAGUGGCGAAAGCGGCUUCCUGGACCAGCACCGACGUUCAGGCACGAAAGCGUGGGGAGCAAACAGG